GACGAACGCUGGCGGCGUGCUUAACACAUGCAAGUCGAACGGAAAGGCCCUGCUUUUGUGGGGUGCUCGAGUGGCGAACGGGUGAGUAACACGUGAGUAACCUGCCCUUGACUUUGGGAUAACUUCAGGAAACUGGGGCUAAUACCGGAUAGGAGCUCCUGCUGCAUGGUGGGGGUUGGAAAGUUUCGGCGGUUGGGGAUGGACUCGCGGCUUAUCAGCUUGUUGGUGGGGUAGUGGCUUACCAAGGCUUUGACGGGUAGCCGGCCUGAGAGGGUGACCGGCCAAAUUGGGACUGAGAUACGGCCCAGACUCCUACGGGAGGCAGCAGUGGGGAAUAUUGCACAAUGGGCGGAGGCCUGAUGCAGCAACGCCGCGUGCGGGAUGACGGCCUUCGGGUUGUAAACCGCUUUCGCCUGUGACGAAGCGUGAGUGACGGUAAUGGGUAAAGAAGCACCGGCUAACUACGUG
rnacentral:rRNA from 1 species